CAAUGUCAGACAACCUCCGGUCCUCUACUCCUCAGUCCUCUCCCAUAGUUUCGAUAGUUCGACGCCUUCACAUUCCUCGCUGCUGUUUGCGAUCAGACGGACGGCAUCGCCAAAUAUUUUCGUUUCAUCACCAACUCUGCGAAGGUCUUCAUUCUCUCAGUUUAAUCGUGCCGUCUUUUCUGAUUCUUUGCCUAAGAAGGACCCUUGUUGUUUCUUGAGAUCGAGAAGGGGCUGCUCUAUCAGAAAAGGAUUGCUUACAAGAAAACUAAAAAAGCCAAUUGGUUUUCCCAAAGAAGUGUAAGGGCCCUAUCAUAGUUGUGAGUUUCAAUAAUCAAUAUUUGAGGAUAUCAAUUUUGUGGGAGAAAGAAGACAUUUGAAGAUAUGGUUUAACUGGACAAGGUAAAGUAAACCAAAAUGGAAACAAGAGAUUCAGGAUGCAUACGUUUCAAUCUUCAUUUAUACAAUUAUAGGUUGUUCUUCACUUCUUUGGUAUCAAAAUUUAAAAUGCAUAUCAUCUUAAUUGAGUUAUCCAACUGUGGAAGUUUUAGAUGGAGCCAUUAGAUUUCAGGACUUUAGGUCACUUUAACCCUGAAAUAUAAGUAGCAUAACCAAAUGGUAAUAUAGAUUAUUUAAAGAGCUGCAAAUAUUUUUGUUCACAAUUCUAUUGACAACCUGCUAUUGACACUUUGAACUUCGGGCUGGCGGGGCGUAAAUCCUUGCAACUCGCAUUUCAACACCCCAACCCCCACUUGCUGCAAAGUUAUCGUGAUUUACCUCCUUCGUGUUGGUCUUGGGGUGGGUUGGCGUGGCGCUGGGGGCGAGCGUAAUCGCCUUUUGCCACAUUAGGUUCUUCAACACUAUUAUUAGGGUUCAAUUAGUAAAAUAAGUGACUAGUUGAUUUAGAACUUGGUUUGAGGUAGAAGUACUGCAAAGAAAGACAUCAUAAUAAAAAGAAAGAUGGUAAAACAUAGAAAUUUCCUAAACCUAGCUAGACUACUUAAUAUGUUUAUAAGUUUUGGUGAAUUUGGAGAAAUGUCUUGAUGCUUAUGUUUCUCUUAAGGCAAGAAGGUUGGUUUAGACUUGUGAUUUCAUCAAGUGAAAAGCACUUCGGGAACUUUUGUGUAAUGAUAUUGUAGUCUAUAUGUUAUUAUCCAACAAUUAUCUUUGUAUUUUUAAAAUAAUUUUGGAUAGUGUGUACACUCUUUACAAAAAUCUUCUUUGCAUAUAGAGAAUAUUUUUCAGUUUGUGGGAUAUGAAAGCUUAAUGAGGAUAUCUCCUUUUAGGAUUUCUUUAUGAUGAUCACAUAUUAGUGAAUUUUAGUUAUUUAGAUAUGAGACACAACUUCACUCAUCAUCUUAAAUCGGUAAAGAAUAUGUUUGAGAAAUAUUCUAACCUUGUGCUUGUUGAUGUAGUUAUAUUUAUAAAAUGGGAAAACAGAGAUAUUACACUUAAGCAUUGAGCUAUUUUGAUGUCAUGACUUAUUAAGCAAAACAACAUAGUUAUUGCAAGUAAGACAAUUAAACGCCCGCAAUGCUCACCAGCAAGUGUUUUGCACUGCACGCUCAUCACAAAUCAUCAUGAUCUAAUGUAAAUCUUUGUCAAAAGAUCAAACCUAAUAGCACCGACACCUUGUACUUCAACAGAAUACAGAUGCUCCUUAUAGUCCUGGACUUUUACUAAAUUGUUCCUCAACACUUACAUCAGGCUUAAUUUGUUUGUAUCGAACAGAGAUGUGCUUCCUUAGCAUAAUAUUACACGCUCCUAAGUCCUAAUAAAGACAUGGUAAAUUGUAUGCCACAACAUCCACUUGUUCCAAAAUUUCAAACAGCCCACUGAAACAUGGUGUCCACUUAUGCUUUUUGCCAAAACACACCCCUUUUAUUGAAGAUGCCCUUAAAAAAAUACAUGAUUGGCUAUGGAAAAUUCAAUAUUCCUCUUACCAACCUGCAUUACUCUUCCAUCAACUCCGGUGGUAUGCUAUAGUUGUCUGUUUUCAGAACCAACUCUGAAGUAGCGUUUUGUUUUCAAAACCAACUCUGAGGUGGCGUUUGGUUUGUGCUGUAGGAAUAGGAAUCAGAAUGGGUUUGAUAGUAGACUGGAAUGAGAAUGGGUAUGAUUAUUUCAAUACAGUGUUUGGUUAGUUUGAUAUUCUGAAAUGGGAAAAAAAAGACAGUUCGGUGCACGAAGCUCCCGUCAUGUGGGGUCCCGGAGAAGGAUCCAUUGUAGACCACCAUCCGUCCAUAUCCUCCUCUCUCAAAAAUGCCCUCUCAUCUCUCAAAAAAAUGUCCUCUCCGUCCACAUCCGCCUUGACUAUUUCAGCGCCGAGAAGCUUCACAAGAUGACUAUCUCAGCCAAAUUGUGACCUUGAAGAUCACUAUCGACACGACGAAUAUCUCAAUGAAUCUGAUUGGUUGGAAGUUGAAAUUGGUUGGAAGUUGAAAGAACUCUACUUUUGGAAUGAAAUAUUAAACCUGAGGAGAGGGAUAGGUUUUAUCCAUUCUCAAAAAUUUGGAUUUCAUUCCCAUUCCCAUUAACCAAACACAACAAAAGGAAAUCAUUCCAAUUUCCGAUUCCCAUACCCCUAAACCAAACACGAAUCUCAUUGACCGAGACAAGCCAAAUAACUGUCUUUCACUAGCCUCUCUGCUAAUUUGUAAAUGAGUUAAUUUUUUAUGAACUGUCUGUUUUCAGGUUUGUGAGAUUUGUUUUCAGGAACAAGAAUUUGUGAGUCUAAACCAAAUAGUUUAGUCCUAUAGAUAAUACCACAUUGCCACCCAUUUUUAUUACCUGUUAACUGAGUGAUGUGGUUAGAUGACUUGGGUGCUAUAGGUUCUCUCAUUAUUCCGUCUUCCAUAAAGCAUUAAUAAUAGGCAAGUUAAGAAUUAUUUCUCUUUCCACUCCCUUGGCUAAAGUUUAAUCAGUUAGUGCCUGCGGCCACUUCAUAUCCAAAGGCCUUAAUAUAAAUAUUUUCCACUUGUCUUGUGUUGCUAAGUCCAAUCCAUGCAGAUGCAUACAAUGCAAUGUAUGCAUCACAAAAAAGCAGUCGAUGUGACAAACUAUGCAGCUAGAGGACUGAACCCAUCGAAAACUAUUGAUUUGGUAGGCUAAAGAAUAUUUCUAAUCUUGAUUGCUGGGUAUAUUAGUUGAUUGAUAAAAUUAGGAUGAUAAGGUCUUGAGCUUAUGCAUUUCUAUAACCUUCUGUGCUGUCUUGGUUCCAAGGAAAUUGGUGCUUAGCCUAAGCAGUCCGUGCCAAUUGGCCCAUGUGAAGACCAUGUUUAUGGGCCCAAGAAUUGGCAUUCCUAUCACUCGGGAGUACGCUUGGCACAAGACGUGUACUUGCUUAACUUUUUUGUAUUCUAGCAUUCGCGUCAAUUAUUAGGAACAUUUUGCUAAUGGGACAUUGGGAACUUGGGGGUUUGUGACUGUUAAAAGGACAAAAAGCACUAUUUCCUAUGGCAUACCAAGACAAAUGUAGUGGAUUUUAUAAGACCAUGGAAGCACUCAAACAACUCAUACUUGAAUGUGGCUACCCUCUCUAUGUGCCAGAAUGAAGACAGACAAUCUGCACAUGAAAUAUACAGAUAUGCUACAAUUGGAGUUUCGCCACCAUCAUGCAGCAGUGGUGCAUAACUAGGCAUGUCCAGCUGAAGAUUUUGGCUGUUCUUGGCAGUGAUAGCUAAAAUAACGCUUACCGAGGCUGCAUUGUAGGCGUUGUCAACAUUUGGGUUCUAUCGUGCAUGGCUGACCUUUAAACUUAGAUUUAUAAUCAAAGAUUGUGUCUUCCAACUAAUUUGUGCUCAAAAUCUUGCAUAGGCUGAAGCCUUCAUGGUUUCUCUCCGUUAACCUACCUCUUACUGAUUGUGCAUGAUUGCCAUUGCGUACCCUCAUGAUUUUGUCUUUGCCCACCGCAGUGUGGUGUUGAACAAUUCUUUGUGGUGCUGAUAAAAAACUGGGAAGCCAAGAUUGUGUACUAAGGACUCCACUCGGACAUUUGUUUUUGUUCAUUCUCUCUCUCUCUCUCUCUCUCUCUCUCUCUCUAGCUUUUGAAUUAUAAUUCUGGUUACUGGUUCUAAUGAAGCAAACCACACACACACAGAGGAAAAAUUAUUUGGAAUCUGUCAUAUCUUCUGCACCUGCCAACUUCAUUUAGACCCAUUUGAAGAGAGAAUGCAAAAGAAUUAAGCAUUGUCUUCUCUAAAUAGGUACUGAUGGGCCCAAUUUCAUACUGGUCAUUAAGAACUCACCAUGUUUUAUGUCCCCACACUCCAACACAUACCAUACUCGAAUCACGUGUCAAAGACGACCAAAUCGAGUUCAUCCAACUGGUUGGGUGCAUGCUAAAGUUCAACCUGCCAGAGGACCCUCCAUGUGGGCCUUCAAUCAUUUGGAUUGUAGCCAUGUCAUCAUUCGUCUAUUGUUAGUCAUUCAUUACAUCAGUUAAUCAGAGGAAAUUAUGUCGACACAUCUCAAGUGUCGGUAAUGCAAAACAACACAUCUCAACUGCUUGGAUUAACAGUUCAGUGUCGCCUGGCUUAUAGCUGCAUAUCGUACAGAAACACCAUCCACUAAUAUAGGUAGAGUAAAUUGAACAAGAAAAUCUCCCGGCACCAGAGUGAGUGGGGCUAUUAUGGACGUCAUCAGUUCCCUUCUUGCAACUUUUAGUUGUGUUUCCAUCUCAGUGCAUGGUUGAGGUUGGCUCCACUAGCUCCGACGGCCAAGAAUCUUCCAUGCCCCUGAUUUUUUUUAUAGCACUUUCCUGUUUAUCAUUACAAAUCUUUUCAAAUUUAAUGCUACUUGAAGACGUUUGGUGCUGUGACAGCGAGGGUGAUGAGACGUUUGUGAGUUCGGUAACCUCGGAGCAGACCAGAUGGAGAGUGUUCCAAAUGAUGGGACCGGUGGUGCAUGGUAUUGUUUAUCCGCCUAUCUUGUUUGGCCAAGGAGGGCACAACAGAGAUUGAAGCGAGGAUAAGAACAGUGGCUGUAGGAGGAGACCAUGCAGAGGUAUGGUUUGUGGGCCGUAAGUCGCCCAUUGCACUGCACAUACAGACGCGGAACUUCUGUAGGCCGCCGAUUCAUCCCCUACAUAUUUUCAACCGAUUUAACAUCUGCUCCACCUGAGAAUAAUUUCCUUAGUAAUCGUGUGCUUAAUUUUCAUCAGUGAGAUGAAAGUUCAGCAAUUGACUUGCGGAACAGAUGUCUGAUAAGAAAAUCAGUUCUUGGUAUACCAUGAUCGAAACAGUCUCCUUUUGUUCUUCUGGGAAUAAUGGAUGUGUCGACCAGUGCUAGUACAGAUUGUUUAGCAUCUAGCUAGUGUUGGUAGU